GAAGCAUGAUAUUUAGUCUGCAAGCAGAGGAAGCUUUGGGGGAGGGGCGGUGUUAAGUAGAGGAGUGACAUGGUCCUAACGCUUUUCAAAAAGCCUGUGGACUACGGGGUGAAAGCCAAAAAGGGAGAGGCUGGGCCAGUGCCAUGGUCCAGAGAGGGGGCGGGAGAGGCCCAGCGGACAGACUGUCGAUGUGUUCACAAGAGCUGACCUAAAUGAGGGAAACUAAAAAAGAUUUACAUAUAUAUAAAGUAUAUAAAAUUCUCAUGUUUUGAGUCUAGGCACCUGAGCAGAGGGCCAUGCUGUUGCUAAGGAAGGGGAAGAUUCAGGAGGACAGGUUGGGGAAGAAUCAGGUCAGAACCUGGGGAAGUGAUGGGGCUCAGAGAAGCUCAGCCUUUUGCCCCAGGUGUCCCCAGCCUGGUGGGGCACAGCUAGAAUGUGAACUGGGAUCCAGUUGGCUGGAAAGCUCUUCCCCGAGCUACAUGCUGCUGAGCAGCGAUGACCCCAGACUCCAGAGAGCAUUCCUGCCCCCCUCCAGUCCUCACACUGCCCCGCAAGUACUGCCCAGCUGCCUCUGUUUCUUAGCCAGGCCCCAGCGGGUCCUCACCUUGGCGUACUUGUACGUGUUCACGGCGCUCUCCACGCUGAGGGUCUGGGAGCACAGGAUCUCGCAGUGCCUCUGUAGGGCAUCCAGCUGGAACAAACUGGCGGCUGACAGCAGCUGUGGGGGGGCGCGGAGGGAGGCAAAAGGCGGCCUUGGAUGGGGGCAGCCAGGCCUGUGGCCCAGGCAUCAUGGAACAGAAAGCUGCUUUGUGCAGUGGGCCCUGUGUUCUAAUCCUCGGGGCCCUGCCUGCCUCAGCAGGUCAAGUCUGAGGACGGAUUUAUUUCUGUUCUAGAGCACCUCGGUAUUUGCUGGGACACCUUGGAAGGCACAGGAUGGGUGACAGACACUGGUUGGGAUUCCUGACCUCACAGAAGAUCUUCAAUCAUAAGCUGCAUGCUUUGUCUACACCACCUUCUACCCAGGCGCCUGGCCGGCAGGGGCUCUGUUUUCUAAGUGCGAGGAGGUGAGUGGGAGGCCCUGCUGCCUGCCUUUGAUCCUCCUGGGCCCAUUAUCCCUACAGGGGAGCCUUUCCAGCCCCCACCCCCACCCCAGGCAUGGCCCAGGAGGCGGUGGGCACCCAGUUCCCUGUCACAGGAAGAGAAAGGACCAGCAGGGAAUCAGAAGGUCCUCGAAGAGGCCACCUCCCCUCCUUGGCUCUCCAAUGCCAUGUCUCUGAGCGCGGGGUUGAGAGCCAGCAGCCAGGCAUUGGGCACACCGGCUCCCACGCCCUUCCCAGCACCGGGACCUCACCUCCAGGAUGUCGGAGGCCGGGAUGUCCAUGGCUUCUGUUCCUCCGUAGUACAAAUACUGCAUCAUCAUCUGCAGCGGGAAGAGGCCCCGCAUGAACACCAAAUGGCCCCGCGGCACCCACGUCCUCUGGCUUCACCAGAGUGCCGCUCUCCGCCCUGGGCCUGGCUGCGCCCUCUACCCUCUCCAUGUGGAUGCGUGCACAUCCCCACUCACUGAAGCGGAUAUUUUGUGCAGUCUCUACAGGGGCCUACCCUCAGAAGCUGCUUCCAACUUUCCCGGCUGUGCUAGAACUCCAGCGUGGAGGUGAGAGCCAGACCCUGUCUGCCCCCUGGAUUUGUUCCCUUGGACAGCAAGCUCAGAGCUGGGGUCGGGUCUGGUCCAGAGGUCACCUCGUUGCCUGGCCCAGACCUGGGACUUGUGGGAACAGAGGGCCUGGGAUAUCAAAUGAGGUGGCCUAGGACUGGGGAACUACAUUUAAUUUCACUGUGGUCUGUCACAAACUCUGCCAUCACGCUGGAGCCUGGGAGGUUCCCAGUUGGAAAAAGAAAAAUGAUUCUCCCCGGUUGGCUGCAGAAACAGCCCCAGCAAGGAGCUGGCAAGUGUGUAAGUAAACACGGCUCCGGCCGGCACAGUCGGGCUCUGUUAGGAGCCGGCCCCCGGGCUGGAAGAGGCACCAGAGGGUCUAGGAAGCAGCCCAACCCUGGGGGAGAAGAGUGGGGUGAUGGCCAGUCUGUCCAGGCCUGAGGUCAGUCCCCGGAGACUGUCUCUCCCCACAGAGCAGGGGGCGGGGGAGGCUCCCUCGGUCCAGCAGCCCCUGCUGGAGCACAGAUGGAGGUGUCUGUCCCUCCAGGAGGUGUGCACCUCAGGUGCCGUCCCCUGUGCUGGGCACGGAGUGGCUGUUUGGGACGCCGGCAGGACUGCCUUGGAUGAUCCAGCGCUGGGAGUGGAGCAGGUGGCGGGGGCGGGGGGCGGUAGGAUCUCCUAGGCUUGUUUGCUAAGGGGUGGCCUCAGGACAGCCCCUCAGCAAGAAGGGGCCUGGGGGUGUGGGCCGUGAGAUGGGCCGGAAUCCUGCAGCUCUCCUUCCCAGGCCCCGCGGCUCGGGAGCUGGUUCGACAAGGCCCAGCCACCUGUGGCCUGUGGAUCUCUCUGAAGUCCCUUAAAUGGAUAUUAGUCUGUGGAAGCCAGAGCUGAACCACUCCCUGGGAACCUUGCUGUGGGAGGCGGGUGGCCAGCAGGCAGAGAUGGGUUGAUUGUGCGCAGCCUGGCAGCCCGAGGGUCCAGACAGGUUGCUCUGGGAAAGGCCCCAGGCAGCGUCAGCUGCAGAGGGGGUGGCAGGGUCUCCUUCCGUCCUGGACAGGACCCCAGGAACCUGACUCCAGGAGGCUGCAGAUACUGACGGGACAGGACUGGGGUCAGAAGCCAGGUAAGACCAGCAGGGCUGUUCCUCAAAGGCCCGGGUGGGGUCGUCGGCAGUGACCUUGGCAAGAUCUAGGCUGGCCCUAACACUAUAGCCGCUGACCACAUCUAGCUUUUAAGUAUUUGGAAUAAGACUGGUCUGAAUUGAGAUGUCAAAAACACACUGCAUUUCAAAUGCUUAUGUUUUACAUUCUUGGUAUGAAGAUACAGUUGCUAAUUUUUAUAUUGAUCACAUGUAA